UUUUUUUUUUUUUCAAUUUUUAUUUAUUUAUGAUAGUCACACAGAGAGAGGAGAGAGGCUGAGACACAGGCAGAGAGAGAAGCAGGCUCCAUGCACCGGGAGCCCGACGUGGGAUUCGAUCCUCGGUCUCCAGGAUCGCGCCCUGGGCCAAAGGCAGGCACCAAACCGCUGCGCCACCCAGGGAUCCCUCUUCCAGAAGUUCUGUGGGUGGAGUCUGCUGCACUGCUUCUCAGAUGUCUUUGCCUGGGCAGAAACACUAGUGUUUUUAAGUUUUAAGAGUACAAGUCCUUCACCUCUUUUGUUCAGUUCAUUACUAGGGAUGGAGGACCAACCAAUUUAAGAUGGUGGGAUCAUAGGAGGACCUUAUGUUUGCCUCUUCCCUAGAACAUGCUAGAUAAAUAUAAAAUCUUAUAAGAACCCAAGAAAUUGAUCUGAGGGCUGAGAGCACAAGCUGUACACCUAGAGGGAGAAAAAUGGCACCAUCAAUGAAGGUAGGAGGUGCAGAAAUGUGAUUUGGGGGAGAAAAGAAUCACCAGUGCUGCAGAGGAGAUGGACUCCUGAUUAUGGAGAGCAGAAAGUAAGACAGACAGACAGACAGACAGAGAAUGCAGGGCAGAGGACAUUGCACAAGAAAAACUCUUCCCCAAAACCAUUGAUGGGGAAAAUGAGAGGAGCUGACAGUCACAAGAUUUACAGGCAGAAGAGCUCAAAGUCUGAAGUUUUAGAAGCCUGUGCCAUCACCAGGGUGGAGCCUGGUGAGUAUGGAGGUGCUCUGGUGGAGGAGGGUAGAGGCCCAGGAAUGGACGGUGUGGUCUGAGAAGUCCCUGGGUUUCACUGGGAGACAUCUCCCCUUCUGAGUGCAUUUGGGAGCGGUGGCACUGCCUCUCUGAAGACAGAAGAGCCAGCAGGCACCAUUGAGCUGACACAUUCAUUAGCAUAGGAUCAGAGGCAGCUGAUGAGGGCAGCUAACCUGAACAUUGGCCUUUUGUUGCACUUUACCAUAAACUCCAAGCUCCUGCACAAUCAUACCACUGCUCUUCUAGGAAAAACCAGCACCAAAUACAGUGCCAUGAGACCCUCCCCAGGGUAUCAUAAUAAAUCUAUACAACAUUGGAUCUAACAUUUGGAAUUUUGGAACCCAGCUGGCACUCCUGAGGUAAAACACAAGAGCACUGUGCUGUUGGGUGUGCAGAUUGCUUGAACGUAGACAGGGCGGAGGCAGGGAUCUGAGGAAAGCCUGAGACAAAAGAAGGGAUAUUGUUAGCUCUUCUGGGAGGGCUUCCUAAAGAGUGGUAGUGUGAUCUCCCAUUCAUGGGGACAAGACCUUCAGCUUAUGCCAUUUUUAACGUGCCCAUCAGCACAGACAGACUUCAGUGAGCAGCACAACACCCACAGAGGGGGAUUAAGCACCUUACAACAAGCCCUGACCCCUGGGCUCUCCAGUUGCAUUUUUACUAGGGUAAGUGUGCCUUAGAUACAGAGUAGAAGUGGGACACUCCCCCUGAAGAACAGCACAAACCCCUUGCACCCACCAAGCCUACUGACUGUAGAGUGCUACAAAGCUUCUGCUCUAGGGGAAAUAGAUCUAACCUGCUUUAAUAAGCAGACCAAUGCACACGUACUUAAAACUCACCACACAUUGGACAAGGUCCAAAUAUUCCCCACUGCAGACUCUGCAGAGGACUUAUCUUUUUUUUUCUCACUCAAAGAACACCUUUAAUAUUUCUUACGGGGCUGGUUUAGGGGUCAUGAACACUUCAGGGAAAGAGCAGACAAAACACAACAGUAGAAUACACACAGUCUAUACCAGAAAGCUUCCUGAAAUGUCAGUCUCUGGACAAUAUAUGACCUUGUCUUAAUAUAGCCAUUAUUCUCAGGAUCUGGAAACAUAACAGGCUUUCCUAACGUACAGAACACAGAGACCAAGAAAAAAAUGCCAAGACAGAGAAAUUCAUUCCAAAAAAAGAGCAAAAAAAAAAAUUAAUAAAAUAAAAAAAAAAACAAAAAAAGAGCAAGAAGAGGCCAAAGCCAAGGAGCUAAUCAAAACAGAUAAGUGA
rnacentral:lncRNA from 1 species